rnacentral:rRNA from 1 species
AUGAACGCUAGCUACAGGCUUAACACAUGCAAGUCGAGGGGCAGCAUGGUCUUAGCUUGCUAAGGCCGAUGGCGACCGGCGCACGGGUGAGUAACACGUAUCCAACCUGCCGUCUACUCUUGGACAGCCUUCUGAAAGGAAGAUUAAUACAAGAUGGCAUCAUGAGUCCGCAUGUUCACAUGAUUAAAGGUAUUCCGGUAGACGAUGGGGAUGCGUUCCAUUAGAUAGUAGGCGGGGUAACGGCCCACCUAGUCUUCGAUGGAUAGGGGUUCUGAGAGGAAGGUCCCCCACAUUGGAACUGAGACACGGUCCAAACUCCUACGGGAGGCAGCAGUGAGGAAUAUUGGUCAAUGGGCGAGAGCCUGAACCAGCCAAGUAGCGUGAAGGAUGACUGCCCUAUGGGUUGUAAACUUCUUUUAUAAAGGAAUAAAGUCGGGUAUGGAUACCCGUUUGCAUGUACUUUAUGAAUAAGGAUCGGCUAACUCCGUGCCAGCAGCCGCGGUAAUACGGAGGAUCCGAGCGUUAUCCGGAUUUAUUGGGUUUAAAGGGAGCGUAGAUGGAUGUUUAAGUCAGUUGUGAAAGUUUGCGGCUCAACCGUAAAAUUGCAGUUGAUACUGGAUAUCUUGAGUGCAGUUGAGGCAGGCGGAAUUCGUGGUGUAGCGGUGAAAUGCUUAGAUAUCACGAAGAACUCCGAUUGCGAAGGCAGCCUGCUAAGCUGCAACUGACAUUGAGGCUCGAAAGUGUGAGUAUCAAACAGGAUUAGAUACCCUGGUAGUCCACACGGUAAACGAUGAAUACUCGCUGUUUGCGAUAUACAGCAAGCGGCCAAGCGAAAGCGUUAAGUAUUCCACCUGGGGAGUACGCCGGCAACGGUGAAACUCAAAGGAAUUGACGGGGGCCCGCACAAGCGGAGGAACAUGUGGUUUAAUUCGAUGAUACGCGAGGAACCUUACCCGGGCUUAAAUUGCAGAUGAAUUACGGUGAAAGCCGUAAGCCGCAAGGCAUCUGUGAAGGUGCUGCAUGGUUGUCGUCAGCUCGUGCCGUGAGGUGUCGGCUUAAGUGCCAUAACGAGCGCAACCCUUGUUGUCAGUUACUAACAGGUUCCGCUGAGGACUCUGACAAGACUGCCAUCGUAAGAUGUGAGGAAGGUGGGGAUGACGUCAAAUCAGCACGGCCCUUACGUCCGGGGCUACACACGUGUUACAAUGGGGGGUACAGAGGGCCGCUACCACGCGAGUGGAUGCCAAUCCCCAAAACCUCUCUCAGUUCGGACUGGAGUCUGCAACCCGACUCCACGAAGCUGGAUUCGCUAGUAAUCGCGCAUCAGCCACGGCGCGGUGAAUACGUUCCCGGGCCUUGUACACACCGCCCGUCAAGCCAUGGGAGCCGGGGGUACCUGAAGUGCGUAACCGCGAGGAGCGCCCUAGGGUAAAACUGGUGACUGGGGCU